GGCGCCGGCCGCCUGCCUCCACCACGCGCCGCCCUCCUCCUUCCCAUGCGCCGGCCACCUACAUCCAUUGCGCAGAUCCCGCCGCAGCCCCAAAACCUAAACGGCGCCGCUGUUGUCGUCCCGCACUGGAUCGACCCGCCGCUAUCGCUCUGCUGCCGUGUACACGCGGUUCAACGCCUCAGCCCCAGGCCGUUCAAUGCCUAGCCGGCCUGCGGCUCCUCCAUGGACACCUAGCUCCUCUACAAGAGCCGCCGCGGCCCACGGCAGCCCAUGGUGGCGGAGUUCGUUGCGUCCAUCAGUCCAACCCCAUGGCUUCAGGGUGCCCGAGUUUUGUCGCGGCCGUCAGUUCGGACACCUCCGUCACUGUGUGCGUUGCUACCACGGCCAUUUGCGUCACUGCGUGCUCCGUCACCGGCCUCAUGCGCACCGUGACCCCUGGCGCACUCCUUCCUCUCCCUGACGAUGUUCGUGCCCUCCCACGCUUGAUCUCCUGCUGCAGCGAUGAGCUCUUCUACAUUGCUGAAGUUCCGUACCUGACGGCACCAGCACGAGGAUGCAGCAGCCAGGCUGGACCCCAGUUCGUGCCUCCCUCUCUCUCCCUUAGCUACAUCAUCACUGUUGAAGUGCUGCUGAUUGAUUUCUUGUAGUGAACUUGGUGCUCCGUAGGUGCCUGCUGGUAUAUGCAAGUGAGGGCCAGCAUUUUUUUCUUCAGAUUCUUGUGUUUGUACAAGGGCUAAAAGUAUUUAGUUGUACAAAUUGAAAUUCCACAUAAUCCUCUGACUGCAAGUUUUACUUGUGACUUUGAUGCUUCGUAGGUGCUUAAAAGUAUUUAGGUGGGUGGUCCGACACCGCUGCGUCCAGCAGUCCAAGAUCGCCACCGGAGGCCUUCACUGUCGCAAUGCCUACUUUCGCCCGCGCCUCCUUCCCGGUCAUCGUGAGUGCUGCUUUGAUUCAGACCUGAUGGAAGAAGGCAGAACCUCUCUCUCGUGAAGAAUACAUAGCAGGAUCUGCCCCAGCAAACCACAUGUCGCCGGGGGCGCUCUGCCUCUCCUAUGCACCCCCUGCUUCCAUCUCCCUCCACCGCCGCCCUCCCUUACCCCUCCGCAGUUCUUGGCACCGCGGCUGUUGCCCCGCACUGGAUCGACGCGCCGCUAUUGCUCUGUCGCUGCGUACAGAGAGUUCAACGCCGCAACCCCCGUCCGUUCAAUGUCGCCGCCAUGGCCGUGCCCCACUCCAACUCCCUCGCCUGUGCUUCCAUGGCGAAACAGUGCAACCUGCAGGAGGAACCGUGGGGGGUCGAGGACGUCCAGCUCGGCAGUCCAACUCAGCAUGAUUCACGUCAUCGUUGGCCCCAUGUUCGCUGGCAAGACCACCGCGCUUCUCCGACGGCACCGGCAGGAAAAUUGGGUUGGGAGUCGACAAGCCGGGCAAAAUGUGUUGCUACUUCUACAAUAUCAAAGAUGAUGAGAUUCUGGUCUUGCUCGUCGAGGACCCAAUCACAGGGCAGUCUGUCGCUGCUGCAAUGCAUUAGGAAAAGUUCAAGUUUCCUAUUAGAUUUAGUUCUAUUGGAAAAGGGCCGCCCUCACCGCGCUUAUCCCCGUCGCCGGAGGGUCGGCGUGCAGGGGUUGGGCCAUAGCCGACAGUUCCGGUCGUCCCCUGCCACUGCUCAAUCUUCUCGCCUAACCCCCUUCCUCCCCGAUCUGCUACUGAUGUACCCCAACUACCACUGGAGCUUCGGGGAGCACUCCUCCGUCCAAGUUGAGCAUUGGGCGCCGUCCGAGUAGAGCACUGCACCCCGUCCAAGUUCCCAUCUAAUGUUGAACGUUAAAUUUUGUCAUGUUGAAAUAAUAUAGCACUGAGCACCCUACAAUUUUUUUUGCUUGAGCGCUGAGCAAACAGUGGGGCCUGGAGGAGUCACAGGGUCGAGGACCUCCUGCUCAACAGUACAACUUCUUGUUUUGUGGCCAGUCGCUCAAGGAGCUGAGUGCAGGCCGCAGUAAGUACAUGAUUACUAAUAUUAGGAUAUGUAUGUGGUCCCAGAAAAAACAUUUGUCGGGUUUUUGGUGGCCAAAUAUUGUUGAUAUGGAGAUGAAUAACUAUGCGGAUGCGCUCCUGUUGUUUUUCUGGAAAAAACAAGAUGCCAUGUUUACACAUCCAUAUUUAAUUUUGGAAGGUUCACACAUCCAUAUUAGAGAGAUUCAUCGGACAUAAUUUUGUAAGGUCAGAAAAAGCAAUUGCUCAGUACAUCACAGCAACUCUUCGAUGCAAAAAGGGUGGCUCUUCUCAAGUCAGCAGCUAACCAAACUGGCAACUUCAGGGUAGCUCAGUCAAAUAUGGCAGCUGUGUAGUAAACAAUUUCAGUUGAGAAAUCAGCAAGCGCCAUGCUCAGUCCAACCCCGUGGCUUCAGGGUGGCCGAGUUCGUAGUGACCAUCAGUUUGGAGACCUGCGUCACUGCGCGUGUCGCUACCAUGGCCCCCUGUGUCACUGCAUGCUCCGUCAACAGCCUCCUACACAAGGAAAAGCAACAGGAGUAGAGGCGUCUGAGAUGCUCUGUUCUACAGAGGUGGCUGAUUACGUUUGUCAGUUUGUAAUACUUUGGCCGCAGUGUACUUAUGUAUCUUUUUCUGGCCGGAGCACGACCAGAGCUUAUGUCAGUACGAACUUUGAUUGUAAUGGUACUACAAACUCUAUGAAAACACCAGCAAUCCAUUUUUACUGGUACUUACCUUUUA